UCCCCCUCUGCUCGAGUCGCGUCUCUAUGGCGGCCUCGACAGCCCACUAGGCGCAGAGAGACAUGAAUGCGGAUGCUGAGGGCCACAGCGCUGCUGUGGUCCCCGCGCAGCCUCAAGAGGGUAGUCCCGCGGCGGAUGACUUCGUCCCGUCGGCGCUGGGCACACGAGAGCAUUGGGAUGCUGUUUAUGAGAGAGAACUGAGAACAUUCCAAGAAUAUGGAGAUACAGGAGAAAUCUGGUUUGGGGAAGAGAGUAUGAACCGACUAAUACGGUGGAUGCAGAAACACAAGAUCCCGUUGGAUGCUGCAGUGCUUGAUAUUGGAACUGGAAAUGGUGUUUUCCUGGUUGAACUUGUGAAACAUGGUUUCUCUAAUAUAACCGGGAUUGAUUAUUCUCCUUCUGCAAUUAAGCUUUCUGCAAGUAUUUUAGAGAAAGAAGGGCUGUCUAACAUUAACUUGAAGGUAGAAGACUUUUUGAAUCUUUCCACAAAGCUGUCUGGAUUUCAUGUUUGUGUUGACAAAGGGACUUACGAUGCCAUAAGUCUUAAUCCUGACAAUGCAGUUGAGAAGAGGAAGCAAUAUGUGAUGUCUCUCUCCAGGGUGUUGGAAGGAAAAGGCUUUUUUCUAAUAACCUCAUGUAAUUGGACCAAGGCAGAAUUGCUAGAUGCGUUCAGUGAAGGAUUUGAACUUUUCGAAGAGUUGCCAACACCCAAGUUCAGCUUUGGAGGUAGAUCUGGAAACUCUGUAGCAGCUUUGGUUUUUCAAAAAAAGGAGACUUCCUUGGACAAAGUCAGUUAGCUUUCUAGAAGAAGCUGCAAAGUAAACCCAAUACAGAAGAAGCAAGUGCAAAUAGUGCUUACCUUUAGCUUGCCUUACCCAGAGGUCUUCUGUCCAAUGAGUUGCAAGCGUGACAUUUGCUGUGUUUUCAGCACCUGCCAACUUGGAAACCAGGGUUUGUGCUCAGGACAUAGGCUUACAACCCACACUUUGUGGUACACAAUGCCGUCCCAGCUGGCAUGCUUUCAUACCUCAAUGGUGCUAGACAUUCAGUUACAAAGCGUCACUGCUUCUCAUGUGCAGAUUUCCUCUCCAGGCUGCUUUCAACUCUUAUUCUAUAUCAAAGGAGUGAGCUCAGAAUCAUUAAAUUAACUGCUGUGGUUAUUUUUCAA